AUUAUUUAGGGGGUUAAAGGGUUGAGUCAUCAAAAAUCAUUACAUUGUUAAUGGCAUUAAUAUUUAUAACUAAUAAAUCUACUUGUAUAUGCAGGUAGCAUGCAAAUGACAUUUGCAGUUAACAUUGAGGAAUGAAAACCCACCACUUUAAGGUGCCAUGAAAGAGCAGCUGCUGCUUCAAUCUUCAAGAGGUCUGCCAAAUACAGCUAUGCAUUUGCACUGAGAAAAUGUUACUUAGCUCUUUCAGAUUGUUCAAAUAAAGUGGUUUAUCAACAGAA